GCUCACACUUUAUGCGCAGAAGGUGGUGAUACUGACGCUGCCUCCCAUUGCGCUGCAUCACCGUCGCGGAAGAAGCUGGCAAACAGUCAACAGGGUCAACCACUGGAUCACUCACUGCGGAAGCAGUGUCACCAUGCCAGUGGAGAUCCAUCGACCUUUCGUGGUACGGCGGACGAAAGUGCGAUUUGACAUGUAUGCUAGGCGGUAUGCUGGCAGAGGACGGCAGGACUUGGUCCACUGGAGCGCGGUUGGCAUGGACGCCGUCGUGGGCUUACUGCACGUCGCCCUGCUGUGAGCUGCAAAAAGCUCGGAGUACCACCAUCUCGAUGAAGUGUCAAGGCUGGUUUGCGUAGUAGCUACCAGCUGCGAUACGUGUGACUGACUUCAUGCGAGCUCAUGAGACGCCCAAUGCAUUUAGAAGUG